rnacentral:tRNA from 1 species
AGCCCUGUAGUGUAGCGGUAAUCAUUCCGGCCUUUGAAGCCGGAGACCCAGGUUCGAGUCCUGGCAGGGCUA